UACGUAGGGGGCAAGCGUUAUCCGGAUUUACUGGGUGUAAAGGGAGCGUAGGCGGUCUGGCAAGUCUGAUGUGAAAACCCGGGGCUCAACCCCGUGACUGCAUUGGAAACUGCCAAACUAGAUUGCAGGAGAGGUAAGUGGAAUUCCUAGUGUAGCGGUGAAAUGCGUAGAUAUUAGGAGGAACACCAGUGGCGAAGGCGGCUUACUGGACUGUAAAUGACGCUGAGGCUCGAAAGCGUGGGGAGCAAAC
rnacentral:rRNA from 1 species